UUCAAUUUUAGGGUUUUCUUUCUUUUUGUAUUUUUGUUGGAAAAAUUCAAUAUUUUUUGGAUUUUGAAUCAUGGAUUUUCUUUGUUUUGUUAUAUUCAUUGGAAAAAUGUAAUCUUUAUGGGUUUUGAAUCUUGGGUUAUUGUAGGUUAUUACGGAGAGGUUGUCCAAGGAAGAAAUUGGUUGUUUAAAAGAGUGUAGAUUUCAAAUUUGGAGUGGCAUGCCCUUUUGAUUGAUAACUCAAAUAACAGCAAAGGAGAAAAGGAGUCGGUGAACGGGCAUAUGGCAACUUAUUUCUUUGUUUCACAAGUUUUAACAAAUGCAGUAAUUUUGGUAUGUUA